UCGCCACACAGGGCGAGCCCGCGGCUGCCGCCAUCUUGGGCUCACAACGAGGCUGAGGGGCCCAGGUGCUGCCCUGUGCGGGAGUAGGUGGUUCUCCCUCCGUGCAAAGGGAGGGCUGGCCCUUGCUGGAGUCAGGUUCAGCUCAGUUGAUUGAGGCCUCCGCUCCUGCUGGCUGCUGUCUUCCUAAUCGGUUUUGAAUUAGAAAAAUUCAUUUCUGGGCUGACAGCAAGAUGGCAACUUGCAAUGCCAAGGAAGAAUUUCCCAUAAAGUUACAAGCAAAUGAAAACAGGAGACUAUAAUGGAAAACUGUAGGUACCCUGAGCUAUAGCGUUUGUUACCGCAAAAGCUGUAAUUACAUGUCUAAUGUAGUGCAAAAGUUAAUCUUCAGUAUCUUUUCCAUUUGCUGCUGAGACAAGCAGACAGGCAGAUAGAGAAGUGUAAUGGAUUCUGAUGGAUAAGGAACAUAUUCAGUUCACCCAGGUAAAGCUCCUUGUGGGAUAUCAGAAUACAUUUGUUCAAGAGUGUGAUGUUCACAGCCUUUUCCCUGACUCUUCUGUUUGCAUAUUUCUA